UAUUGUUUGUCGAGUGAAUGGAGCAGUGUGACUCAGCUAGGAACAUUCCUGUUUCACAACGAGACAUUCGUGGGUUCCAGUCCCACACUGAUGACAAAUGGGAUUAAAAAUACCAACCUGGCACUCCAGCAGAACUGGAGUGGGGGCCACUGCACUGUUCGAAGUGCUGAUGGUGGAAGGGAUCAUGUGGACCAGACAAGGUCUACAGUGGUUGAGCAGUGGUGGGGGACGCCAGCGGUCAAGCUUGGCCCGGCCGACUCUGCAACACCACCAGGACAAUGGGCCAUCAUGGUCAGGUCAAGAACCCUGCAGAAGCAGCGAAAAUCUACUCCUGCAAGAGUGAUGCUCGAUCCUUAAAAUAUUAGUUACUGAAAAUGAAUAUUUUUUUAAUGGUUCUUUUAUCUCCGUCUCUCUGUCUCCCCCCCGAUUUGUAUUCUGUGUAUUCUGUAUAGGUUUUUCAUUAAAUUAAAUAUCCUUACCUGUGUUCAAUGAGUUUGAUUCUGCAUGUCUAAGUAAGGAAUUGUUCAGUCUAAUUGGUUGAAGGGGCACAGUAAACAUGCUGUAAUGGGUCCAACAUAUCCAUUUGUCACGAUACAAAGAGCGUUAAAAAUCAGUGGGUAGCUAGAAGCGUCAGUGAUUGCAAAGUUUGCACAUAAUAUACCAUAUAAAUUAGUCAUCCGUUUGUUUAUGACUACAUUUUGUGAAUAAAAGUUAUUUUUAAAUCA